rnacentral:rRNA from 1 species
UACGGAGGGUGCAAGCGUUGUCCGGAUUCAUUGGGUUUAAAGGGUGCGCAGGCGGGCCAUUAAGUCAGGGGUGAAAGACGGUUGCUCAACAAUCGCAGUGCCUUUGAUACUGGUGGUCUUGGGUGACCUUGAGGUAGGCGGAAUGGGUGGUGUAGCGGUGAAAUGCAUAGAUACCACCCAGAACCCCGAUUGCGAAGGCAGCCUACUGGAGGUUUACCGACGCUCAGGCACGAAAGCGUGGGGAUCGAAACAGGAUUA